rnacentral:tRNA from 1 species
GGCUUUAUAGUUUAAAUAGAACAUUAAAUUGCAAAUUUAAAAGUGAGAAAUAUCUAAGGCUU